rnacentral:lncRNA from 1 species
UUGCGCGAGAGCAAUUACAAUCCAGCGUGAACAGUACGGGGGUACUGUUCAUCUAUUUAUAGGCAACCGUAGAGGCUUGUACGCUAUUACAUUUAUGCCCUCAACAAUUACAUACAAAGUUUACAAAAUGUCACAAGGGUAACAUCGCCAUUUGUAUUUAAUAGCUUGAGCAACACCUUCUCCUUGCAUUGCCUCAUUGCUUCGUCAUGACGAUGCCUGCUUGAUGAAGUGUGCUUCGUUGUACAUCCUUUUCGUUAUGCCAAAGCCCCAUUGUCCACUCGUUUCAUUGUGAUGAAGCAUGCCAGAUGAAGCUUUACUCCGCUCCUCUUAUGUUGUACCAAAGCUUUCCUGGUGAUGAAGCUCCUCUAAUAUUCAGUAGUAUGCUAAAAGCAGAUGGUUAGCCAUGUUUUUGAGGACCUUUGGAAGAAAAAGGCCCCCAACAUUAUCCAAGGGUGCGAGGAUGGAACCGGGCACCGUUGUCUUCUUUGGGGGCAUGUUGAAGGUGGUUGUGGUCAUAAAUGAGUACACCAGAGGUGGGAGCCAAUGUUGGUCACUCAUUUUUAAUUGUUGUAUACAAUCAAAAACAAGACAACACAAUAUUUAAAAAGAUGUUAUCCUUCGUACUUUAAAGAGUUCGUCCUUCGGGACAUCCAAACCAAGUACGAACGUUAUUAUAUAUAAUCUAUAGGAUUGUCAGAGGAUGAAGAUAAAGAUUACACACAAGGCUAUAACGAAGCUAGAUAAGAUUGCUUAUCGCGAACAACUUGGGAUUUCUUUCUUUAUGUGAAACAAAUUUUACAAUAGUACCUUUGGCUUUUUGACGAGGAGAAAACUCGAAGGUACUUGGAAGAAAAUGGAUUACACAUAGUUGUUCCCCCCGGCACCUAAGAGGUUCCUCAUGUAGGGCACUGUUCAUCUAUUUAUAGUGUGGUGGUACAACUUCGUGUAUGGUUACAAACAUUUCCAUAAAACUUGUACAUGCAGUUUACAAAUUAUGUGGGGGCAGUAUCAUCUUCUGCCUUUUCUGCUUUGGUUACAGAGUCUUGAAAACACCUUCUCUCGGCCUUAUUCCACUUCUGCCUUUGUUUCCUUGUGUUGUUAUGACGAAGCUAACAUCUUUGUCUUCCUCCCUGUCUUGCUCUGAAUGUAUUUAGUACCAAAGCUCCUAGGAUGUGCUAACAACAAUGGUUAAAUGUGUUUUUGAGGACCUUUGAAAGACGAAGGCCCCAACAAGUUGGGGAGGAAGGAGGGGCAUAGGCCUGAGGACCUUAGCCGCUCAGAGUGGGACUCACAGGGACGCACGGUCUAGCUAGUUGUCAUGCCUGUGCGCACACAACAGCAAGAACAGGGACGGCGACGUCGUGUGGAUAGAGCGGCGAGGCAGGCUGCGUGCGGGCUGCAGCAGAGCCCAAGGGCCUGGUCGUCGUGGUCGCUCGGUGUCGAGGCUGAGGAGGCACCCGACAGUGGGUGCGGCCAUGGUGGGUGCCGAGCGCACAGGAGCUGGGCGCGCGGAGGUGAGGUGCGGCUAUGGUGGAGCAUGCUGAUUCCUUCGCCAAAAUGUCGCAGAGCUUUCACAAUGAAACAAAGGGAGAAGAACAGCAAGGGAGAUGGAUCCCUCACCCUGCAGCAGGUCCAUACACCGGUGGCUUGGACGAGAAUGACAAUGAGCACGAUGAAGGGCGAGGCGAGAUGGUUGUACAGCGACCGCAGACUCUGCUAUACAGUGAUGAGCGCGACAUAGCCUCCUCCUCUCAGCGAUGUCGGUCCCUUCUUCACGAUGACGAACGACGCGACGUCGAGUCCGACGUGCGUAAAGAUGUCAAUGGAGAAUUACCCACCGGGGAUUAACUCCCCAGACCCGUACCCAUGAACGUCGACCCGCCCCCAUCCCCGAACCCAAACCCGACCUCAGGUACGAAAAUCUUCCCAUACCCAUCCCCGACCGGGUACUAAAUACCCAUGGGGACCCAUACCCGACCCGACUAUUCAACAUUUCAGAAUUUCAGCAUAUAGAUUAUGGACACAAUUCGACAUUCAUUCCAACAUGCAUAUUUUAUAGUAUCAUCAACAUACUCACUUUCCUUGCUCGUCAGCGGUGUUCAUCGGCGUCGGCGUCGAUGAAGACGCCAUCCACGCAUCCAGUGAGCGGUCAGACCGUCCGGGUGUCUGGGCGAGCGGCGGUUGACGGGCUCUGCAGGGGCGUCCAGCGAGCGGCGGUCUGACCGUCUAGGCGUCCAAGCAAAUCUGGAGAAGGAGACGGCGAGCGGCGGUCCGGCUAUCCGGUCAUCUAGCGAGCGGCCG